UCAUUCCUUAUAGUGAUGUCAGCAUGAUGG
rnacentral:piRNA from 1 species